GCGGCUCCCUCCCCCAGCCCCCACCACGUGAAACCCAGUGGACGAGAAAGUCCUUUAAUUUGGUAAAGCCUUGUUCAUUCUGCACGAUUAUCCCGAACGCAGCUGGCUCCCACCCCAGAGUAUUUUAAUAGGAUUCGGGAAAUACAGUGACCAACUGCACUUCAAAAUGUUUGCACAGCAAAUGAAAACUUUGUACCUGGGUAAUACGCCCACACCUGCUUCCAGGCCUCCAGGGGGCCUUCCACCCCGGGGCGAGCAAAAUUGUGUCUCCCCCAGCUGCCCUCCAAGCCCAGAACCAUCACUGCAGAUAGCAAAGGAGGCAGCCGGGCAGAAGUCAGCUGUGAGCACUUCCCUGCUGUCCUCGAAGAAGGUGUGGGAUGCUGAGGACCCAGGAGAGGGUGCAGCUUGCUCAAGGAUGUAAGGUCAGAGCCACAAAAAGGCAGGCCAGCAUGCACAGGUGA